CUGUCACGUGACGGCGCCGCGAGCUCAGGCACGGCAGCGACAACCAGUCGAGGCGAGAGCGAGACGGCGGCUUCACUGAAACGCUCAGAGUUUACACUGCGAGAGCUAGCGACAGGAGUGGAGCGCGGGGCUGCCGGCUACGGGAGUGCUCCACACACAGGGACCUGACGGACGGCACAGAACACCCUCGGAAAAGGGAAUCUCAAGCCGCCUUACUUGCACUUAGAGACGUCUCUGUGCACGCGCGCACAUACAGACAACCUGACAGUUACGGAAAGAGAAAAGGAUAAAGGUGCGCAUUGUUGAGAGAGUAACUAGUGGAUACAACAGUUCACUUAAAGAAGAAACUACCUCCCUCCUUUGCUUACUCAGUGGGUUUAUUUAAUUUUGUAUCCAACUUACAUCAAGUUGAACGUAGAAGGAAGGAAUUCGAUCAUACUGGGACUUGGGCGGCGAGGAGCCUGAAAAGGACUGGAUCGCUUGGGAGGCAGCGGCGGUGCACUGGAGGAGACGGGAGAGGAAGAGACGCAGAGAGAGAAAAGGGGGAGUGUGAAAUCACGUCGCUUGCUUUCUGUCCCUGGCCUUCUCUUCAAACUUUUAAAAAAAACAUUCAGUAUUUAUUAUUUUGUGCAUUUUAUAUACAGCGAUUUGUUUUUCCUAUCUUCGGGGCUGUGUUUGUUUUUUCUCCUUUUGGAAUAUGGUUGGGGAAAUGGAAACGAAGGAAAAACCGAAGCCGACCCCUGACUACCUUAUGCAGCUUAUGAACGAUAAGAAAUUGAUGAGCAGCCUGCCUAACUUCUGUGGGAUUUUCAACCACCUCGAAAGACUGUUGGAUGAAGAAAUCAGCAGAGUACGGAAAGAUAUGUAUAACGACACAUUAAAUGGCAGCACAGACAAGAAAAGUUCAGAAUUACCAGAUGCUGUGGGACCCAUUGUACAGUUACAAGAAAAACUUUAUGUGCCUGUAAAAGAAUAUCCAGAUUUUAAUUUUGUCGGAAGAAUUCUUGGACCUAGAGGACUAACGGCGAAGCAGUUGGAAGCAGAGACAGGAUGUAAAAUUAUGGUCAGAGGCAAGGGUUCAAUGAGGGACAAAAAAAAGGAAGAACAAAACAGAGGCAAGCCUAAUUGGGAACAUCUGAAUGAAGACUUGCAUGUGUUGAUCACUGUGGAAGAUGCUCAAAAUCGAGCAGAAAUCAAACUCAAAAGGGCUGUAGAAGAAGUCAAAAAGCUAUUGGUACCAGCAGCAGAAGGUGAAGAUAGCCUUAAAAAAAUGCAACUGAUGGAACUAGCAAUUCUUAACGGCACAUAUAGAGAUGCAAACAUCAAAUCACCUGCCCUUGCCUUUUCUCUUGCAGCAACGGCUCAGGCUCCCCGGAUUAUUACAGGGCCAACACCAGUUCUCCCGCCUGCUGCCCUGCGGACCCCCACACCAGCUGGCCCUACCAUAAUGCCUUUGAUUAGACAAAUUCAGACAGCUGCUGUCAUGCCAAAUGGAACCCCCCACCCUACUGCCACAAUUGUGCCUCCUGCACCGGAGGCAGGUUUAAUCUACACACCCUAUGAAUACCCGUAUACACUGGCACCAGCUACAUCCAUCCUGGAGUACCCAAUUGAACCUAGUGGAGUGUUAGCUUCCUCAAAGGCUGAAGAGCUGCCACUGUACUUUGGGUUCCAUACCUGUCACAUUCCUGUCACACUCCACCGAGGAGAAUCCUCCUCCUCCAGAGUUUCCUUUUAAAGAAUGGGGCUGUUCACCACACUUAAACAAUCCAAACUUUGCACUGUAGGGUAACUGUGAGGAGCUGCCAGCUUCAGUCUAACACCAUGAUGCAUCUGCAUCAUUGAAGUUGUUCAAUGAAUGUUUACAAAAAUGGCCACUUUAAGAUCGCCCAAAGCCUUAAAAGCAUUCUUUUUGAAAGGUUUUCUGCAUGUAAUUGUAAAAGCAUCACAAGGCUCUGAGCUAAAUGACAGCACAAUCUCCUGGAUGAUAGAAACUACAGUGGAUGAGGUUUUAAUUCACUCGGGGAUCUUUUUUUGCUUUGGGUUAAACAUGUGGACAAGUUGCAUGUUGCUUCAAAGAGGAUGGACCACUCCAGAGACUAAUUUACAUUCCCUUCCUUUAUUCUUUAGGUAUGGCUUUCCCAACGAAAGGCUAAGCAUUCAAGAACGGUCUUACUGAAUCCUCAUCAGAUCUGAGUUAACAAAUGUUUAGUUUCACAGCUGCCUUGAAAUUUUCAAGCUAUGGCCUAGCAGUCAGUCAAACACUUGCACUUAAUUCUUUUGUCAUAGGAUUACUACUGAAUCUUACACUGGCAAUAUAUUUUGCAAGAGAAAAAAAAUAUAUAUAUAUAUAUAUAUGCAAUAAAAUGCAGUGCCUAGUAUUUCACUGAUUGCUAAGUAUGUUAUAAGUAAAUAAAUACAGUGUUGCUUUACUAAUCACCUAAUACACAGCACAUUAUCCUUAUUGGCUUAUAACAUCAAUUUCAUGUUGUGGUCUAAGGAAACUUAUACAAAAAAAAUUGAGAGAGAUGGAGAAUUUCAGGUCCCAGACCUAUUUUGGACAGUAAUCAGUGUUAUAUUUGUAUUUAAUUUUAAACAUAACUGGAAUUCUGCAUCUUGUCCAGAUGCAUGUCAUUGAUUAUGUGAGUAGUAAAGCUUAUAUACUGUAUGCUUUGGUCUAAUCAGCAUCUUUCAUAUUGUACCUCUGAAUAGAAAACUUCAUGGAUCUGACAGGUUAAGGCAAUGCUUUUUCUCUAAAGUGAAUGCUACUGUUCUGUUAUAAACCACAUAGAUUUAAUCAUAUAAACUAUUGUGCCUUAACUUGUUUCACCUUUAAACUGCUUACUUUUGUAGCUAUUGUUAAUUGUAAAGGUAAUUUUGAUAAACCUACUGUAUUUAAUGAACUGUUAAUGGACCAUUUCUAAGUUGAAAUAUCUAACCUUGUUUUGGUAAUGUUGCAAUCUAACCAGGUGCGGUGGCUACUAAAGUACGAAGGCACGAUAUGCGGGUCCAUCCUUACCAAAGGAUUGUGACCGCAGACCGAGGUUAGUUUAGUUAUGGUGUUCCUGUUUUUGAAAAUAAAAAUGAUGUCAUUCAUUGAUACACUUUGCAACACUAUAUCUAGCCCAUUCCUUUUAUUUUGUAUUCAUUUAAAUUCUCUUGUUAAUGAAUCUGUGGCCAUUUUUUUUAUUUUUGUCCAUUAUUUUGAUGACUUUGUGAUCUGCGUGUUGUUAAUGAAAAAUAAUGGAUACCUGAUUCAGUUUCCCCACUGCGUUAUAAACAGACUCAUUUCGAAAAUGGUCAGUUGCCUCUGUUAUUACUCAAUUUCAUUUAAGACAAAUCUUUAUUGUAAAGUCCCGUGUUGUAAAGACAUGAUUUUUUUUUACAUUGUUUUCUGUAACAUUAUGUAUAGGAUAGUUUAUUGUAUGGAAAAGGUUGAACAAUUUAAAUAUAACCUCAGAGAAGAAAAAGUACUUUUCUACUUUUUGUGUAGCAUUCAUUACAAGCUUUCCGGUAUUUUUAUAUACAUGCAUAUUUGUGAUUACAUUUAAAAUGAUAGUUUUACUGAAAAUGUAUGACAUGAAUGGAAUUGUGAAAAACAGACUUUCUGCUAGUGCCUUAGUAACAUCUAUUGGAAUAUCUACAUCGAUUUUAAAGACCACAAACUGUUCUCUUUCGAGGUACGUAGGGUUUUAUUAUAUCACAACAUAAGAAAAGGGAAUAACUCUGCUGAAGAUUUACCGAUACCUUUUUCAGUUGGGGAACUGAAACAAUACAGACAAUUUAGCAACCACAGGAAAAAUGCUUAUGUCUUAUCAGAUUGGUGUUGCAAACAGUUUUAAGGGCUUUUUUAUUGGAACUGUUUGUGUAAAACAAAAAUGAUAAAUGUCAUCAAUUCUAGACAGGUGAAAAAAGGUGAAGAUUUAGUUUCCUGGUAAUGUUAAAACAAGAUUGGCUUCUUUUUAAAAUUGUGAAACUUUAAUAGUUAUUCCCUUUUUACUUUAUUUUUGUUGCUCUUUUUUAUUAUCAUUUUAAAGCACGCUGUGGCAUUAUUUUAAAUUAUGGGCAGAACUAAAGACUAUAAUAAAUAAGGCAGCUGCUUUGGUUAAAUAUGUGUUUUUAAAAAAUAACUGAAAAACCAUUUACAGUAGCUGGAUCUUGUUUUCUAUUGACCUGGAACUAAAUCUUUAUUAUUAUACACCUACAGUGCUUUUAUGAGUGUUGUCAUCUGUUUUUCCCUAAGACCCACUCGUAAACCUUUAGGAAAGAGGUCCUAAUUCAGAUUUAUGAUCAUUAUUCACAUAUUACUUUUAUAUGUCUUUAUACAGUAACAUUAAUUAUAUCAGUUGAUUUCAUGUAUGUAUACUUUACACUAAUGUUAGGACCCAUUUAUUUAAUAAGAGAGAACCGUGGCCUUGUUUUUAAUUAUGAAGAGCAAUAUUAAAGUUUUACCAUUAUUUUGUGCAUAUUAAUGUAUGAAAUUUUGGUUAAAGUGCACUUUACAUUUUAAUAAAUUUUUAAAAUCAAUCCUUUUAAUUAUACAAUUAGGUGUUUCAUAUAGAAGGUAUAUUACAUCUAUGAUUUCCAAGUUGUAUUCUUGUAUAUAAAAAAUAAGCUUUGUACAAUAUGUGCACAAUGUCAGAGACUCCACUGUAUAAAAAGUCCUCUGAAAACUGAAAAAACCAAGCCCUAGUCAAGUGCUGCUUUUCCACAUUAUCUUCAGACUGCUGCAGACAUUUGUUCAGCGAUGAAGUAUGGCAUCCAUCCAAGUUAAACAAAAUCAUCUGUUUAAAGUGGGUGGUCAUGUUACCAUAUAGAUGUUUUUAUAUUUCUGCCCACUUAUUGAAUUUCAUUAAGUAAUAUAAGAAGAGUUAAGGGCCAUGAAAUGGUAAGUCUAGCUAUCUCACAGCUUGAGAAACCUGGGUUCAAUUCCAACCUAAUUUCUGUCUGUGAGAAAGUUUAACAUUUUCUUUUAUCUUAGAGGGUUUCUUCACCACUCUAAACUCUUGUUUCUCCUCCACCCAAACAAUGUUAAUUUGUUACUCUAAAUCAGCCUUUUGGAGUAAUUCUGUAAUUGCUCAUUUACAGUAUAUGUCCUAAAGUGAAUUAGCUAUCUGUGUUAAUUUGAUUAAUUCUACAAGGUCUCCACAAAACUAUAUAGUGGGAAAAACAGUUUAAGAAUUAUCAUCGAUGGAUGGACAACAGUUAUCUAAGGAACUUACUUUAUUAGUAUAACUGAAUGAUCUGACUCUUUUGUAUCAUUCAGAAUCUUAUGUGUUUUAUGUUUUCAAAAAUUAUGAAGCAGCUUUUGUAAAUGCAGAAGGCAAGACUUUUUUUAACAUUAUGUAUUGUUUUAAUUCCAAACAAAUGUGGUUUAGAAAUAGCUCAUGCAUAAUCCAUGUUUACAUGUGUUUCAUAUAUUUGUCCUUAAAAAAAGGCAGGCCAUUGAUAGAUGCUAUCAGUCACUUCUUCAGCCAGAUGAUAUUUUCCCCACCUUCCUCUUUGUAUAGUCAGUAAACAAACCGCAAAAAGUUAAAACUGAGUUCUAUGGAUUUGUAAAUUAAUAUCUGUUUAAAUUAAGAUCUUGUCAUUCUUAAAUGUUAUUUUAUUUCUUUGACUUUAAAUCUAAAAAUGUACACAUUUUGGUUGAAAGUGUUCUCUAAAGGUUUACCAUAUUGGGUCGAAGGGAAUAACAGCCAAUGGUAUUUUAAAAUAUAUUUAAAUACAACUUUUAGAAGGCUUUUUUUUUUCUUUUUUCUUUUUUUGGUGCAUUCCUUGGAACUUUGCAAGCGUGCUGAUAGAAAUAAUAGGAAAUAAAUAAAUUCAAAGUACUCAUUUAUGAAACUUUACUUAUUACUGAGAAUUUGCAAUUGGUGAAUGUUUCGCAAGGGAAAUAAUUCUGUAUGACUAAGAAGACAAAACCUCAAUACAGUAUGUCGUCAAACAAAACUAAGUUUAAUAUCUAUAACGGACAGACUGACAAAAUUAAUUCUCAAAACUGUUUAUGAAUUUGCACAAUUGUUAAACCUGUGUGUAUUAAAGAAAUACCUGUAACUAGGUAAAUAAUACCUCACAGGUGUAUUACUCAUGUGAUUAAGGCAAACUGAACUCCAUUGUCUCCAAUAGGCCGCAGUUUUGACACAUUGAUAUCUGAGUAGAAAAAUAUAUACUUGGUGUUUUUUUUUUUUUUAUAAUUGUCCAAACGUUUAGGCUUUCAAAGGUUAAAAAUAAACCAUAAAUUAAGCUAUAUACUCCACAGUAAAUAUGGUGCUUCAAGAGUAUUUGGAUUUGUAAAAUGUACUGUGGAACUAUUUUUUUUAAUGAAUUCAUUUAUUAAUGUUUACCUGAUCUAUCAACCUUUCAGCAUAUAACAGUUGAUUUUUGGUGAAAAAAGACUUUAAAUGGAUACCAUUUUAGCGGCCUAUUUAAGGCACUAAACGUUCACUCAUUGUUUCACCUACUGGAUUUCUUGUUACAUUAAACGGCACAAAUAUGACUUUGCACUGAAAAAGCCCUUUCAUCACCUCUGCCUCCGUCAAACUGGCAACAGAUAAAUGUAAAUGAAACAUCAUUAACAAAAAGUGAAAAAAGUCUUAACUGCAAAGUGGACCAAGUCGCAUAAGGGAUGAUGGGUAAAAAAUAUUAGACAAGAUCAUUUAUUGACUGAUGGAAAAAAAAAAAAAAAAACUUUCCACUUGAGAAGUUUGUUGUAUUUGUUGUGUAUUUUUUGUUUUUAAUUUUUUUGUUUUCUUGCAUUUCAUUUUCUUUUUGUUGUUAUUGAAAAGAAAAUAGUAUUUACAGGUUGCUUCUUAAAGAAAAAAGUAUAAAGCAGAAAUGUAAAUGAAAUGUCAAAUUCUAUUGUAUUUGCAAAGUAAUAGCAUUGAAAAUUCAAGAGGGCUAUUUGUAGUUACAAAAAUAUGCAUAUAGCAUCAUUUAGAAUUUUCUUCUAUUUUUGGAUGUUCCUUAGUGCUUUAUAUAAAGAAAUUAGACUAUAUAAAUGGCAGGACUUUACAGUGUUUAUAUGCAAAUGCAUUUUUAUAUAAAAAUACGUCCUGUAAGUGUAUUAUAGUAUAUGCAGCAAGGGAUGCCUUUAGCCAAAGCUGUAUACUUGGCUUUCUCUGGGCUCCUAUACUGAUGCCUUCUCUGCUAGAUAUUUUAUUUAGUUUUGCUUUGUAUCAUGAGGCCAAGAUUUUCAUGUUGUUGUAAAUAGAGUAAAACGAAAUGAAAGGCAAUAAAAGUUUUAUUGAACAAAACAGAAAA